ensembl:lncRNA
UUUUGGACCAAGGUUUUUAGCAGUCUGGAUAGAUUCUAUCCAUUAAAUAACAAAAGGAAAUAAAUGACCCUUGUUACUCAACCAUCAAUGUGAAAUAGCAGUAAUAAUGCUCAUUGAGAGCUUGCUGUGCAUCAGUCUUGACACGAAUUUACUCGGCUCUCCCCCGCCCCGCCAACAGCCUGUGAGGUGGGUGGUAUUACUAACUCCCACUUUACAGAUGGGAAAACUAAGGCAUGAGGAGAACACAGCCUCUGCUGGCACUGCUGCACACACCUAGAACCCUUGGAGGACAAGGGGCUUAGCAGCACCUGCUCUGGCGGGGCCACUCAGGUCUGGGUCCCUAAUCCUUAGUUUGCCCAUCUAUCAAAUGGGACAAUCGUGGCACCCACUUCUCAGAUGUGUAGAUAAUUCAGGGAGAGGAUAGAGAGGAUUUAGAGCAAAGUGGGUACCCAACAGGUUGGGGUGAAUUUUGGACCAAGUGCUUAUCCAGCACCCGAGGAGCUCUGUGAUUUGAGCAAGGCCCUUCAAGUCUCUGGAACUUCAGAUGUAAGGCAAGGAUGAGAAACUUCUUUACAGGGUCUAUGAAAAGCUAAAUAAAGAACUUAGGGCCAGGGACACAGAGUAAAGACAGACAGGCUUAAAUCCAUACUCACUGAGUUCUCAGCACAGCUGGGUUCUUACUCCUAUUUACGAUAAGAAGAAUCACAAGGAUGAUGAUGAUGAUAAUCAUCCGGACCUCCCUCUAAGUCGAAUACACUUAUUAUUUUCAUUUUAAAGAAGAAGAAACUGAGCCACAGAGAAGUUAAGUCAUUGGUACAUCACCAGCUAGAAGGUGGCAGGGCCUCUCCUCUCUGGAGCAGCUGGUUCUGAAGGGGAGGAAACCAGGUGCUGGCUAAAGCUGGCCAGGUGUCCCCUCCCUCCUGCCCCCUGACUCCUUACCACCCCUCCCCAAGGCUACGUAAACAUUAGGGUUAUCAUUAACCGGGACCGCUGGUGACCCUGGGGUACAGGGCCAUCGAGGGCAGAGGCUCAGGCAGAUGGGGAUGAGGGAGCUUUUUGAAGCUGCCAGGGUCCUGUGAGGCCACGUGCACAUGCACUCAUGCA